AACGGGAUGGGCGCCUACACAUGCAGUCGACGGGCAUAGCAAUAUGUCAGUGGCAGACGGGUGAGUAACGCGUGGGAACAUACCUCUUGGUUCGGAACAACACAGGGAAACUUGUGCUAAUACCGGAUAAGCCCUUACGGGGAAAGAUUUAUCGCCGAGAGAUUGGCCCGCGUCUGAUUAGCUAGUUGGUGUGGUAAAGGCGCACCAAGGCGACGAUCAGUAGCUGGUCUGAGAGGAUGAUCAGCCACAUUGGGACUGAGACACGGCCCAAACUCCUACGGGAGGCAGCAGUGGGGAAUAUUGGACAAUGGGCGCAAGCCUGAUCCAGCCAUGCCGCGUGAGUGAUGAAGGCCUUAGGGUUGUAAAGCUCUUUUGUACGGGAAGAUAAUGACGGUACCGUAAGAAUAAGCCCCGGCUAACUUCGUGCCAGCAGCCGCGGUAAUACGAAGGGGGCUAGCGUUGCUCGGAAUCACUGGGCGUAAAGGGUGCGUAGGCGGGUUUUUAAGUCAGAGGUGAAAUCCUGGAGCUCAACUCCAGAACUGCCUUUGAUACUGAAAGUCUUGAGUAUGGGAGAGGUGAGUGGAACUGCGAGUGUAGAGGUGAAAUUCGUAGAUAUUCGCAAGAACACCAGUGGCGAAGGCGGCUCACUGGCCCAUUACUGACGCUGAGGCACGAAAGCGUGCGGAGCAAACAGGAUUACAUACCCUGGUAGUCCACGCCGUAAACGAUGAAUGCCAGCCGUUAGUGAGUUUACUCACUAGUGGCGCAGCUAACGCUUUAAGCAUUCCGCCUGGAGAGUACGAUCGCAAGAUUAAAACUCAGAGGAAUUGACGGGGGCCCGCACAAGCGGUGGAG
rnacentral:rRNA from 1 species